CAUGGCUCAAUGGAUAGAGCACCGGACUUCUAAUCCGAUGGUUGUGGGUUCGAAUCCCGCUGGGGG
rnacentral:tRNA from 1 species